rnacentral:rRNA from 1 species
CCUACGGGAGGCAGCAGUAGGGAAUCUUUCACAAUGGGCGAAAGCCUGAUGGAGCAACGCCGCGUGCAGGAUGAAGGCCUUCGGGUUGUAAACUGCUUUUAUAAGCGAGAAAUAUGAUGGUAACUUAUGAAUAAGGAUCGGCUAACUACGUGCCAGCAGCCGCGGUCAUACGUAGGAUCCGAGCAUUAUCCGGAGUGACUGGGUGUAAAGAGUUGCGUAGGUGGCAUAAUAAGUAGCUAGUGAAAUCUGGUGGCUCAACCAUUCAGACUAUUAGCGAAACUGUUAAGCUCGAGACCGUUAGGGGUAACUGGAAUUUCUGGUGUAGGAGUGAAAUCCGUAGAUAUUAGAAGGAACACCAAUAGCGUAGGCAGGUUGCUGGGACGGUUCUGACACUAAGGCACGAAAGCGUAGGGAGCAAACGGGAUUAGAUACCCGGGUAGUC